rnacentral:rRNA from 1 species
UAAGCGGAGGAAAAGAAACUAACAAGGAUUCCCCUAGUAACUGCGAGUGAAGCGGGAAAAGCUCAAAUUUAAANUCUGGCGGUCUUUGGCCGUCCGAGUUGUAAUUUAGAGAAGCGUCUUCCGCGCUGGACCGUGCACAAGUCUCCUGGAAUGGAGCGUCAUAGAGGGUGAGAAUCCCGUCUUUGGCACGGAUGCCUGGUGCUUCUGUGAUGCGCUCUCGAAGAGUCGAGUUGUUUGGGAAUGCAGCUCAAAAUGGGUGGUGAACUCCAUCUAAAGCUAAAUAUUGGCGAGAGACCGAUAGCGAACAAGUACCGUGAGGGAAAGAUGAAAAGCACUUUGGAAAGAGAGUGAAACAGUACGUGAAAUUGUUGAAAGGGAAACGCUUGAAGUCAGUCGCGUCGACCGAGACUCAGCCUUGCCUUGGCUUGGUGUACUUCUCGGCCCGACGGGUCAGCAUCAAUUUUGCCCCUCGGAUAAUGACAAGGGAAAGGUGGCACCUUUACGGGUGUGUUAUAGUCUCCUGUCGAAUGCGAGGGGUGGGAUUGAGGAACUCAGCGCGCACCUCAGUGUCGGGGCUUCGGCCCACGUCACGCGCUUAGGAUGCUGGCGUAAUGGCUUUAAACGACC